rnacentral:lncRNA from 1 species
AUGGGGUGGAAUUUUCCAGCAAUUCUUCUGUCUUUGAUCUUCAUCAUUCUGGCAUUCGCCACAGUGGCAGUUCUAGUCCUGAAAUAUAUACAACACAAGAAAAAAUCGUUUGGACCUUGCAGUGCAGAACAACAGGAGUGUCUUUUGAAGUGCCAGGAUCAGAAAGCUCAAUGUGAGGAAUCCAUCGCACAAUCUACAGACUCCUUUAACAUUCCAGCAACAUCUUCAACCAGCCUAAGUAAAUUCCUUAUCUGUUUCUCCACUAUCAUCUUCAUAGACCUGAACCAUAGGACUAAGGUCUACUAGGAUGCUCAAUCCCCCACCCCAUUUCACAUUGAGCAAAAUGGACAGUUUGGACCAUUGAGAAGUGGUAACUUGAAAAGAAUGGAAAGUAUGUUCUCUGUCUUUGUGCUAAAUCAACUUACUGAUCUGUCUCUUUCUGUUUAUUUCCUUUAGCUGGACA